AUUGAACGCUGGCGGCAUGCCUUACACAUGCAAGUCGAACGGCAGCACGGGAGCAAUCCUGGUGGCGAGUGGCGAACGGGUGAGUAAUAUAUCGGAACGUGCCCAGUGAUGGGGGAUAGCCCGGCGAAAGCCGGAUUAAUACCGCAUACGACCUACGGGUGAAGGCAGGGGAUCGCAAGACCUUGCGUCAUUGGAGCGGCCGAUAUCAGAUUAGCNGUUGGUGGGGUAAAGCCUACCAAGGCGACGAUCUGUAGCUGGUCUGAGAGGACGACCAGCCACACUGGGACUGAGACACGGCCCAGACUCCUACGGGAGGC
rnacentral:rRNA from 1 species